UUGUUUUCACCUGUAUUCCCUGGAAUACUCAUCUUUGUACCCUGCCUUUGGGUGCAGUGUAGGAAUGCAGAAGAAGUGUCUUGCUUAUACCUCUUAGGGGUUGUUCAGUUCAGAGAUAGGGGUCCUCCAUGAGGCUGAAAGCUACUGGCAAUAGGGAAGGAAGUACUGCUUUUGGAGAAAGAAUAUUGCUUUCAAGUAACAUGAGUCAAAUCAUUGGGGGUAGAUGCAUUAAUAACUUCUCAUCUGGACUGAAUGUGUUUAGAAAACUGAUUGGGAGCUCACAAAUGGAUUUUCUGUUUUUAUUCCUUUUGCCCUAAAAAUCAUCAAGGUUCAACCAUGAAAAUGAUCUUCCAUCAAACCCGACUUUGCAAGAAAGCACUUUCUGAAGCAGCAUCCGUCAGUGUAGAACAUGUGGGGUAGAUGUGGCCAGAGUGUGUGGCGUAAUUGGAAUGUUCCCUGCGCAGCAGCCUUGCCUGUGAAGGUCACUGAGAGGAGCAGAGUCCUUCCAGCAGCCCAUCUCCUGAAGAACCCAGGCAAGGUCUUUGAAGAUGUGCAUGUUCACUAUCAGCAGUAAAAUGGCAAAAUGCGGAAAUGUUAAAGCAACUCCACAGAGCCAAACUCCCAGAAACAAGUACGCUCUGUCCACCUUAGUCCAAUGCAUAUAGCUGCUCUGGCACAACCAGCAUGGAGUCUCCCAUCAAAAGAGACUUGUUCACUGUUCGUGUCCUGAUGGAUCACUCCACGAUGAGUGUGUGCCAGCCAGUUCUAGCUGGGCGUUCUGUUACUUGGUUAGUUCUUCAGGCUGAGAGGGCUUGGAGGAGAAGCACAUUUAGAGAAGGAGUUACGGAUGGAAAACAGCUGAAGACAAGUCGAUGGCGUGAGUCACAUGAUCCUGAGGUAAAGCAAAAAAUAAUAACAAUUAGACUU